rnacentral:misc_RNA from 1 species
GGCAAUUUCUGCCACGCCUUCUUCGCUACGUUCUCCUCUCCUCUCCAUUCCUUAUGAUACUAUUGAUCAAAUCAUCAGGCAAGAAUUCGAUAAGGAAAAACCCGUUCAAGGGAUUUAUAUUUACUUGCUUUCUUUAGGUUCCCAAUCGAGAAAUUAUGCUUAUAGUUAUACACCUGGAGAUUCCUCUCCUGGAUUCACGAAAUGUUUGGGAACUAUCUGGACUGGGAAAGAGAGAUAUCUCUGGAUUGACCUUUCCGCUGGACCUGUGGAUUAUGGGCCUGCUUUAUCCGGAGAUGGGGUUUUGCCUAGAGGAGAAUUUCACCCUCUAGCGGCAAUGCACGGGGGACCCAAGUCACAAAAGGCGCUGCUUGCAGACUUGGCUUCUUUGAUUUGGAGUGCUUAUCAGGUUCUACUUGUGCCCUCCUUAAGAAUUCCUGUUCAUUUUGAGAGUUCUUUGAUAGUUGAGUUUAUACAUGUUUAUGGGUCUGACGCUGAAAAGGAUUCAAGUGGAUUGGAUUGGAAAGCUAUUGAGAGGACCUUCAGAGAUGAGGCUGACGAGGGUGGGUUGUUGUUAGGAGACCAGUCUUUGGUAUUUAGGAAUUAUGGAAUUAGAUAUGCUGAUUGUCCGAUUUGCUCAUUUGCCAUUUCGAGGUCUAUUAAUUCGUACACUUCAAGGUUUUUGUUUGAUAACUAUACUUUGAUUGUGAGUGAGUAUUUGGACUCAAAAAGGUUGCAUCAAAUAUUGUCUGAUUCUGCUGAGGAGUUUAGGAGGAUGGCAGGAAUCCCUGAGGAGGAUUUUGGCAGAGUGCUUCCAGUUUAUGUGUUUGAUUUGGAUUAUAAUACAUUAUUGUUGCUUGAUCGGUAUCAUCAAUCAGUUGCUUUCAGAGAUAUGGUUAUUGCAGUGAGGACGAAGACUACUCAGACUGUGAGUGAUUAUAGCUGCAAUGGACGUCAUGUGUUUACGCAUACAAGAGAGAUUGAGCGACCGGUUGUUGGUUCAAUUCUACAGAGCAUGUGGGGAGUGUCACCAACACAUUUGUUAUGGAGUUCAAGGCAUAAUAAUACUUUGGUGGAUUAUACUUGGAGUGUUGGGCAGACACCAUUCGGGCCUUUCUCAGAGACUUCAUCACUUUCUUUUGUGCAGAGGGAUGCUGUAAGGAGAAAUGUACUUUUGACGUCACUGAAUUACAGCAUAACAAGUGCUAUUGAUGUCCUUGAGUCUAUAUCAGCACAUGGUGGUGACAGGAAUCUCCUUAAACAGAAUCAACAUGUUGAGUUUAUACAAAGAUGGAACUUGUUCAGGUACAAGCUGGACAAAGCAGUUUCAGCAAUGUCUCAUUUGGACUUUGAGAUGGCUUUAUAUUACUUGAGGUCCUCAGACCAUGAUCUGUAUGCCAUUCAUUCUCUUGUUUACCAUGCAUCCCAGGAAUUGGAGGCAUCACUGCUUUGUUUCAAGGAUCCACCAUUUCCCUGGGGCUCAGUUUCAAUGUCU